ACCUGCGGAGGGAUCAUUACAGAGUUGCAAAACUCCCUAAACCAUUGUGAACGUUACCUAAACCGUUGCUUCGGCGGGCGGCCCGGGUCCUUCCCGGCGCCCCUCGGCCCUCGCGGGCGCCCGCCGGAGGUAAACCAAACUAUUGCAUUGUAUGGCCUCUCUGAGUCUUCUGUACUGAAUAAGUCAAAACUUUCAACAACGGAUCUCUUGGUUCUGGCAUCGAUGAAGAACGCAGCGAAAUGCGAUAAGUAAUGUGAAUUGCAGAAUUCAGUGAAUCAUCGAAUCUUUGAACGCACAUUGCGCCCGCCAGUAUUCUGGCGGGCAUGCCUGUUCGAGCGUCAUUUCAACCAUCAAGCCCCGGGCUUGUGUUGGGGACCUGCGGCUGCCGCAGGCCCUGAAAUGCAGUGGCGGGCUCGCUGUCACUCCGAGCGUAGUAGUUACAUCUCGCUCUGGGCGUGCUGCGGGUUCCGGCCGUUAAAAGCCUUAUUUACCCAAGGUGA
rnacentral:misc_RNA from 3 species